rnacentral:rRNA from 1 species
GAUGAACGCUGGCGGCGUGCCUAAUACAUGCAAGUCGAGCGAACGGACGAGAAGCUUGCUUCUCUGAUGUUAGCGGCGGACGGGUGAGUAACACGUGGAUAACCUACCUAUAAGACUGGGAUAACUUCGGGAAACCGUAGCUAAUACCGGAUAAUAUUUUGAACCGCAUGGUUCAAAAGUGAAAGACGGUUUUGCUGUCACUUAUAGAUGGAUCCGCGCUGCAUUAGCUAGUUGGUAAGGUAACGGCUUACCAAGGCAACGAUGCAUAGCCGACCUGAGAGGGUGAUCGGCCACACUGGAACUGAGACACGGUCCAGACUCCUACGGGAGGCAGCAGUAGGGAAUCUUCCGCAAUGGGCGAAAGCCUGACGGAGCAACGCCGCGUGAGUGAUGAAGGUCUUCGGAUCGUAAAACUCUGUUAUUAGGGAAGAACAUAUGUGUAAAUAACUGUGCACAUCUUGACGGUACCUAAUCAGAAAGCCACGGCUAACUACGUG